GCUGCGCGUUGGGAGCAACGUGAGUCCGCACGCCAACCAAAGAAUAAAGUUUCCUAUUUCAGAGUUGUUUCCUGCUGGGAUUUCCAGACUAUAAAAACACCAUUUCUGUCCUCAGAUUUAGAGAGAGACAAGCAGAAGAUAAGCAGACCCCAAAGAAAGUAGGAUUCAAGCUGACAGGAUGCAGGAUCAGGAACUUCGGAGACUCAGGAACCACGCAGGUGAACAGCUGCAAAUGUUUCUCCCUCACAGAGGCUAGUGAAGAUUAGGAGAAAACGGCGGACUCGGGAUGAUAUGUUCUUGGAGCUCCAAAUGUGCUCUGUCAGCGUGGGAGGACAGCAGAAUGCGUGGAGGCAGACCAUGUCAGAGUGCAGAAAAGCACAAUAUGAACGAGAGGAGAGGUGGCGGGCUGAAUCGCAGGCUGAAGAGAGCAAGUGGCGGGCUGAAGAGGAUAGGUGGCAUCAGAUUGCUGACAGAAGGCAAGAGUCGAUGCUACGGCUGCUGGAGCAUCACGCUGGAGCAUAUCAGUUUAUGGUUGAGCUGCAGGAAAGGCAGCAGCAGCAGAGACCACCGCUACUGCCCCUGUGUAACCAACAGCCCUCCUCCCCAAGUUCCGCAGCCUCCUCACCCAGACACCCAAGAAUGGGGGGGGCCCGCCUCUGGCCACCCAGCCAAUCCACCCCAGAGGAUUGCCCAAGCAUCAGAAGGCUGGCCUUCAAUAAGUUUUAAAGUGCAGUGUGUCCUUGUCCUGCCCUCCUCCCCCGCCUCACCCAGCACUUCCCUCCUCCCCCACCCCUCCUGGGCUACCU